rnacentral:rRNA from 1 species
AGAGUUUGAUCCUGGCUCAGCGCGAACGCUGGCGGCAUGCCUAACACAUGCAAGUCGUACGGAGAGUGGGGCAACUCACUCUCAGUGGCAAACGGGUGAGUAACGCGUGAAUAACCUGCCUUUGAGAAGGGGAUAACUGUCCGAAAGGAUAGCUAAUACCCUAUAUUGCCUUUUGUCACUAAGGCAAAAGGUGAAAGCGAGGCUGUCAAAGGCUUCGGCUCAAAGAGGGGUUCGCGUCCUAUCAGGUAGUUGGUGGGGUAAUGGCCUACCAAGCCAAUGACGGGUAGCUGGUCUUAGAGGAUGAUCAGCCACAGUGGGACUGAGACACGGCCCGCACCCCUACGGGGGGCAGCAGUGGGGAAUCGUGGGCAAUGGGCGCAAGCCUGACCCCGCAAUGCCGCGUGAGGGAGGAAGCCCUUCGGGGUGUAAACCUCUGUCAGAUGGGAAGAUGGGGCUAGGGGCUAAUACCUCCUGGUCUUGACGGUACCAUCAGAGGAAGGGACGGCUAACUACGUGCCAGCAGCCGCGGUAAUACGUAGGUCCCGAGCGUUGCGCGAUGUUACUGGGCGUAAAGCGUCCGUAGCUGGUUUCGUAAGCGGAUUGUCAAAACCCGAAGCUCAACUUCGGCAAGGCAUUCCGAACUGCCUUACUUGAGUCCUGUUCAGGUAGGCGGAAUUCCCGGUGUAGCGGUGAAAUGCGUAAAUAUCGGGGAGGAACACAGUGGCGAAGGCGGCCCACUGGGACGGUCCUGACGGUCAUUGGACCAAAACCGGGG